rnacentral:rRNA from 1 species
UACAGAGGGGGCAAGCGUUGUUCGGAAUUACUGGGCGUAAAGGGCGCGUAGGCGGCCUGCUAAGUCGAACGUGAAAUCCCUGGGCUCAACCCAGGAACUGCGUCCGAUACUGGUUGGCUUGAAUCCGGGAGAGGGAUGUGGAAUUCCAGGUGUAGCGGUGAAAUGCGUAGAUAUCUGGAGGAACACCGGUGGCGAAGGCGGCAUCCUGGACCGGCAUUGACACUGAGGAGCGAAAGCCAGGGGAGCAAACGGG